CGCCCUUAGAGUUUGAUCCUGGCUCAGGAUGAACGCUAGCUACAGGCUUAACACAUGCAAGUCGAGGGGAAACGACAUCGAAAGCUUGCUUUUGAUGGGCGUCGACCGGCGCACGGGUGAGUAACGCGUAUCCAACCUGCCCAUCACUUGGGGAUAACCUUGCGAAAGUAAGACUAAUACCCAAUGACGUCUCUAGAAGACAUCUGAAAGAGAUUAAAGAUUUAUCGGUGAUGGAUGGGGAUGCGUCUGAUUAGCUUGUUGGCGGGGUAACGGCCCACCAAGGCGACGAUCAGUAGGGGUUCUGAGAGGAAGGUCCCCCACAUUGGAACUGAGACACGGUCCAAACUCCUACGGGAGGCAGCAGUGAGGAAUAUUGGUCAAUGGGCGAGAGCCUGAACCAGCCAAGUAGCGUGCAGGAUGACGGCCCUAUGGGUUGUAAACUGCUUUUAUAAGGGAAUAAAGUGAGUCUCGUGAGACUUUUUGCAUGUACCUUAUGAAUAAGGACCGGCUAAUUCCGUGCCAGCAGCCGCGGUAAUACGGAAGGUCCGGGCGUUAUCCGGAUUUAUUGGGUUUAAAGGGAGCGUAGGCCGGAGAUUAAGCGUGUUGUGAAAUGUAGACGCUCAACGUCUGCACUGCAGCGCGAACUGGUUUCCUUGAGUACGCACAAAGUGGGCGGAAUUCGUGGUGUAGCGGUGAAAUGCUUAGAUAUCACGAAGAACUCCGAUUGCGAAGGCAGCUCACUGGAGCGCAACUGACGCUGAAGCUCGAAAGUGCGGGUAUCGAACAGGAUUAGAUACCCUGGUAGUCCGCACGGUAAACGAUGGAUGCCCGCUGUUGGUCUGAAUAGGUCAGCGGCCAAGCGAAAGCAUUAAGCAUCCCACCUGGGGAGUACGCCGGCAACGGUGA
rnacentral:rRNA from 1 species